rnacentral:rRNA from 1 species
UACAGAGGUCCCAAGCGUUGUUCGGAAUUAUUGGGCGUAAAGCGCGUGUAGGCGGCUUUGCAAGUCGGGUGUGAAAGCCCUCAGCUCAACUGAGGAAGUGCGCCCGAAACUGCAGAGCUUGAGUGCCGGGGAGGGUGGCGGAAUUCCCCAAGUAGAGGUGAAAUUCGUAGAUAUGGGGAGGAACACCGGUGGCGAAGGCGGCCACCUGGACGGUAACUGACGCUGAGACGCGAAAGCGUGGGGAGCAAACAGG